UAGUUGACCCGCGGGGUAUGUGGUGGUCAGUCAGGUGUUAGGUCACUCAGCUGUUACAGGCUAUUCGUGAAGCAUUCGAACUUCCGACUUCACACCUGUCCAGUAUAUGCACGAAGGCUAUCGGACGAUACACCGAAAUGAAGGUACUACAUUGUGUCAUCGCCCUGUCCUUACUUCUCAUGUGUCACGUGGGAAUGUCACGUGGUCAGGAAACUGAAACGGAAAAGCCGAGUUUAUUCCUUAGAACAUCCGCCAUCGUGUUCUUCUAUAUCGUUGAUAUCCUCAUCGAUCUCUGGGCAGAAGAAAAAAAGCCUGCACGCUGACGUCACGAUUUGGAGCGAUGACGAAUCGUCGGGAUAAAAAAGUUGGGUUUAUGUUACAAUGGAAAUCGUAAAACGGAAGAAUGAAGUAGAACAUUGAAAUACACAAAUACUUGUUAUUAAGUGAUAUGCAUAAUAAAAAUAUGUCUGUGCUUGAAAA